GGACAGAGAAGCUACAAGGACAGAGCUGGCAGGCAGGGGUGGCAGUCACGGGGAAGGGUAUCCCUAGAGAAGUGACGUACACGGACAGCAUCUCCCCGUCCUCUGCAACCCUAGAGUCUCACCUCAUAAAUACUGGGGACAAAAGAAAGCAGACAGUGCUGCACAGCGACUCGGCGGCACAGCACUCACCACGCAUGCUCAAGGUCCUGGGUUCUGCUUACGGUAAAAAAGACAGACAGAAGAAUACACAUUGUAUAAGGACAUUCUGAAGAGUAGAGAAACUAAAACCUGGUGAGAGAAGUUGGACAACGGGCUUCCAGGUUUACGAAGAAUUAACUUUCUCAAAUUUUGUCUACAAAAUUUUUGAAGUAUCAUGCUUUCGCUGACAGACUAAGAAUGCAAGUCAUUCACCAUGACUCUGCAGCACAUCCCACCCCUCCUGCCAGCUCCUGACCCCUACUUUCCUAUCUCCCACACCAGAAGUGUGGUUUCUUCUCAGCCUUCCACACCCCAUCCUUCCCCUGGUUCUCACCUCAACUUCUCUGUUGUUUCUGCAGACACCUCUUUGUACACAGGC